rnacentral:misc_RNA from 1 species
GAUGAAGAACGCAGCGAAAUGCGAUAGGUAAUGUGAAUUGCAGAAUUCAGUGAAUCAUCGAAUCUUUGAACGCACAUUGCGCCCCCUGGCAUUCCGGGGGGCAUGCCUGUUCGAGCGUCAUUACAACCCUCAAGCUCUGCUUGGUAUUGGGCUCUGCCGGUCCCGGCAGGCCUUAAAAUCAGUGGCGGCGCCACUCGGCUUCAAGCGUAGUAAUUCUUCUCGCUUCGGAGACCCGGGUGCGUGCUAGCCAGCAACCCCCAACUUUCUCAGGUUGACCUCGGAUCAGGUAGGGAUACCCGCUGAACUUAAGCAUAUCAAUAAGCGGAGGA